UACGUAGGCAGCGAGCGUUGUUCGGAAUUACUGGGCGUAAAGGGUGUGUAGGCGGUCUUCUAAGUUUGGUGUGAAAUCUCCCGGCUUAACUGGGAGGGUGCGCCGAAAACUGGAAAGCUAGAGUACUGGAUGGGAGAGUGGAAUUCCUGGUGUAGCGGUGAAAUGCGUAGAUAUCAGGAGGAACACCUGUGGUGUAGACGGCUCUCUGGACAGUCACUGACGCUGAGACACGAAAGCGUGGGUAGCAAACAGG
rnacentral:rRNA from 1 species